UCCUUGGUGAUCCAGUGGUUAAGAAUCUGCCCUGCAGUGCAGGUGACCCAGGUUCGAUCCCUGGUCAGGGAA
rfam:TPA: Bos taurus chromosome 17, whole genome shotgun sequence.